CACAUUAUCUUGCAGAAGAGAAGCGAGUCAAAAAGACCUCAAAGCACAGCGGCGUCACCAAUCCCUCCCCUGAAGAGCUCACAGUCUAACCGGACAAGACAGACACAGGGCGGGGGAAGGGGCAGAACACACAAGCAGAGUGAGCAGACCGAUAGUGCAAAUGCCACAUCAGUGCCACCAUUUAACAGUCACACUGUGCUGUGCGGGAGAGAGGGGGAGCAGGGGGUGGAGUGAGGUUGGGGUGACAGGACCGGGUGAGAGGGGGUUGGAGCUGUCAGCCAAUCAGCACAGGAGAGAAGACAGGCAGAGUGACACUGUCACAAGUAGCAUGAUGACAUCAUCAACCACUAUGUCCCUCUGGACACAGAGGAGGUGAACUACAACAGCCAGGGCACAGCCUGGGCACAGCGCUGGCUACAGGCAGAGUGACCCCAAACCUGCUCCCGCCCCCGGCUGUGUGGGAGCAACAAACCCGUGGGAAUUCAGUGAGUGGGGUUUGGGUCUGUUCGCUCCGUGUCCUGAGUACGAAGGCCGAGGGGCCGAGCUUCUCCGUGCACUGCACAAACCAGACUGACUUUCUGUUCACAGUGAGCUCUGAGAGCUGCCCAGAGGGGCUAUGAACCUUGUUGUAAAGUCUGAGAUUCCCCCUCCCGUCCCCAGUGAAAUGAACAAAGGGACCUCACCUUUCUCUGCACGAUGCGCCGCUGGAAGUGAAUAACAGGAGAGGUGGGUUACAAGGCAGAAGAUUUAUCUAUCGCAGCGUCUCUAGGGGGAGAAAAGAGGGAGAGCUCCUGGAGUCUAGUGGAGAUGUGAUGAUUUCAGCCUUCCUUCUUAGAGAAAAAGUAUGUUUCUAGCCCUUGUUUCAAAAUGUUUCUCCAGUGCACCCUAAAGGCUCAACAAGCAGACGGCAAAUAAAAAGAAGCCCCCAUCGACUAUUUUUACAUCAUCCCGUGAUUUUAAAGCCAAUCUCCUGAUUGUGGAGGGCAGCAGUGAUGCUGUGAGAAGCUGAAGGCCAGGGAUGAAAAUCAUCAGAAUCAUACCUAAGAAUUGCUUAUUUGGAACCCAGAUAAAUGCAGUAACUGGCCAGGAGAAUGAGAACAGCCAGGACAGCCAGGAUCACACCCAGAGCCACCAGCCCAGGAUUGACUCGUGGGAAAAACAGCUCUGCAAGAGAAAGUGCCAUUGACUUGGGAGCAAACACGCGCAGAAUGAAGGCAGGACCCUGUGACAAUGGUGACUCUGUGACUAGUUAAAAGAAUCUCAAGGUGA